rnacentral:rRNA from 1 species
CCUACGGGAGGCAGCAGUGAGGAAUAUUGGUCAAUGGCCGUAAAGCUGAACCAGCCAAGUAGCGUGAGGGAAGACUGCCCUAUGGGUUGUAAACCUCUUUUAUGCGGGGGUAAAGGUGUCCACGUGUGGCUGUUUGCAGGUACCGCAUGAAUAAGGACCGGCUAAUUCCGUGCCAGCAGCCGCGGUAAUACGGAAGGUCCGGGCGUUAUCCGGAUUUAUUGGGUUUAAAGGGAUCGUAGGCCGGUCUUUAAGCGUGCCGUGAAAUUUUGUGGCUCAACCAUGAGAGUGCGGCGCGAACUGGAGACCUUGAGUGCGCGGAAGGCAGGCGGAAUUCGUGGUGUAGCGGGGAAAUGCUUAGAUAUCACGAAGAACCCCGAUUGCGAAGGCAGCCUGCCGCAGCGUUACUGACGCUGAAGCUCGAAAGCGCGGGUAUCGAACAGGAGUAGAUACCCCUGUAGUC